UAAUGUCUGGGAAACUGCCUGAUGGAGGGGGGUAACUACUGGAAACGGUAGCUAAUACCGCAUAAUGUCGCAAGACCAAAUGGGGGACCUUCGGGCCUCAUGCCAUCAGAUGUGCCCAGAUGGGAUUAGCUAGUAGGUGGGGUAACGGCUCACCUAGGCGACGAUCCCUAGCUGGUCUGAGAGGAUGACCAGCCACACUGGAACUGAGACACGGUCCAG
rnacentral:rRNA from 1 species